rnacentral:rRNA from 2 species
UGCAAGUCGAACGAUGAUGCCCAGCUUGCUGGGUGGAUUAGUGGCGAACGGGUGAGUAACACGUGAGUAACCUGCCCCUGACUCUGGGAUAAGCGUUGGAAACGACGUCUAAUACUGGAUAUGACUGCCGGCCGCAUGGUCUGGUGGUGGAAAGAUUUUUUGGUUGGGGAUGGACUCGCGGCCUAUCAGCUUGUUGGUGAGGUAAUGGCUCACCAAGGCGACGACGGGUAGCCGGCCUGAGAGGGUGACCGGCCACACUGGGACUGAGACACGGCCCAGACUCCUACGGGAGGCAGCAGUGGGGAAUAUUGCACAAUGGGCGAAAGCCUGAUGCAGCAACGCCGCGUGAGGGAUGACGGCCUUCGGGUUGUAAACCUCUUUUAGUAGGGAAGAAGCGAAAGUGACGGUACCUGCAGAAAAAGCACCGGCUAACUACGUGCCAGCAGCCGCGGUAAUACGUAGGGUGCAAGCGUUGUCCGRAAUUAUUGGGCGUAAAGAGCUCGUAGGCGGUUUGUCGCGUCUGCUGUGAAAUCCCGAGGCUCAACCUCGGGCUUGCAGUGGGUACGGGCAGACUAGAGUGCGGUAGGGGAGAUUGGAAUUCCUGGUGUAGCGGUGGAAUGCGCAGAUAUCAGGAGGAACACCGAUGGCGAAGGCAGAUCUCUGGGCCGUAACUGACGCUGAGGAGCGAAAGCGUGGGGAGCGAACAGGAUUAGAUACCCUGGUAGUCCACGCCGUAAACGUUGGGCGCUAGAUGUAGGGACCUUUCCACGGUUUCUGUGUCGUAGCUAACGCAUUAAGCGCCCCGCCUGGGGAGUACGGCCGCAAGGCUAAAACUCAAAGGAAUUGACGGGGGCCCGCACAAGCGGCGGAGCAUGCGGAUUAAUUCGAUGCAACGCGAAGAACCUUACCAAGGCUUGACAUACACCGGAAACGGCCAGAGAUGGUCGCCCCCUUGUGGUCGGUGUACAGGUGGUGCAUGGUUGUCGUCAGCUCGUGUCGUGAGAUGUUGGGUUAAGUCCCGCAACGAGCGCAACCCUCGUUCUAUGUUGCCAGCGCGUUAUGGCGGGGACUCAUAGGAGACUGCCGGGGUCAACUCGGAGGAAGGUGGGGAUGACGUCAAAUCAUCAUGCCCCUUAUGUCUUGGGCUUCACGCAUGCUACAAUGGCCGGUACAAAGGGCUGCGAUACCGUAAGGUGGAGCGAAUCCCAAAAAGCCGGUCUCAGUUCGGAUUGAGGUCUGCAACUCGACCUCAUGAAGUCGGAGUCGCUAGUAAUCGCAGAUCAGCAACGCUGCGGUGAAUACGUUCCCGGGCCUUGUACACACCGCCCGUCAAGUCAUGAAAGUCGGUAACACCCGAAGCCGGUGGCCUAACCC